UAGUACGGCCCAUGUCGGCUCA
rnacentral:miRNA from 1 species